GGGGCCGGGCGGGGAUUGAGGGGCGGGGCCGGGCCCGGCUCAGGUGCGCGGGGCCCCAGUGCGGCUGCGCGGGCCGGGGCCCCUUUCACUGCGGCCAAGCCGCUCCCGCCCCGCCCCGCUCCUCGUGGUGUACUGCCUGUGCCAAGCACACGGCCCGGGAUGGGCGCUGGUGCCCGGCCGGCGCUGGCACGGACACAGCUCAAGGGCUGCCCGUGGCUCCCGGGCCAGGGGCUGCUCUGAGCAGGCUCCUGGAGACGCUUCAGCCUGGAUACAGGCCACUGACAGCCCAAAAGCAGCCCAAGGAGCAGCUGGCAUGUUCUGGUGAUGGUGGCACAGGCUGCGUGCAGAGGGGUUCAGACAGCAAUUCCUGGUUCCAGCCUCCCAGAGCUCCUAGGCAGUUGCCAACUAUUAAAUGCCAACCGACAGCCUGCAGAGAUGCCUUAAAAUCAAAGGUUCAGGUGGGAUGAAGUUUUGUUUGGAUGAAGGUGGGAGUUUCCAGGAAGCCAGCUGGAAGUGCAGAAGGGAUGGAAAGCUUUCCCAGAUACUUCCCAGUGGCACUGCUCAGACACCAGAGCUCCAACUGCAGCAGGUGAGUCCUGGAGUGCUGGAUCAGCAUGACCACAAUGGCCAGGGAGGGGAUUUUUCAGAUUUCUGAGAAGCCAAGCCCAUCUCAGGAAGUUGCAGCAUGGUUAAAGUGAUCUCCUUCAGCUGAGCUGCAGUCAUGUACAUGUGCAGCUCCUCCAGAGCCUGCAGCUGCAGCUGGAGCACCCCAGAAUUGAGGUGAGCUGACAGGAGCUUCACAGUGACAGGGUUCAGACCAGGCUGAGGAAUAGAGCGCAGCUCCAAGGCCAGGAACCAGCUCUCCAGUGCAGGAUGUCUGAAAAUCAAGCUUGUCAGUUACAAUUAUUGAACAUGAAAUUGUCUACUAGCUGGCCAGAAGAUAAAAAAUAUUAAUGAAUUACAAGCACAUAAAUAACAUUCUCCCAACAUUUAUGCUGUGGGAUUUAUGCUGUUAUACUGAACACUCUGGACGUGUCUAAGCUCAUCUGCAGAGAAAACUGAGUAUUCUGGGGUUCAUCAAUACACUCUAAUCUCCACAAAUUCACAGAACAGAUGAAAGGAAGAAAAAUUCCCUCCUCAGGUACAUAAUUUUCAGUAAGGCUUUACACAGGGCUGAGGGAAUGCAUUUUUUCCUGCAAAGGUGAUCUGAUUUGGGACUCUCCUGACCGUGUUCCAGCUCAGGGGUGGGACUGUGGGUGAUGCAGCUGGCUCACAUCUCCAGACAGUAGUUUAGCAACCUCACGCUCUGCAUUCCUAAGUUCCCCUCCAAGAGCUUGACAACAACUCUCUGAUCAGCAAAACUAUUCCCUAGAGAAUCAGCCAAAUCCAAGUUACUAACAGGUACCUCUGUAUGCAAGGAUUUGGUACCUUGUCAUUUGAAGACACUUCUGUCAUCAGAGGCUCCUCAUCCAUGAAGAGAUCCCAUCAGCCUGAUGCUCCUCCUGCUUCUGCUGCUGCUCCAGCUUUAUUUCAUUGCCCCAGCACAACAAGAUGCUCAGCAGGUUCACACAGAGAUCAACAAG